GGCUAUAUCACCUUGAAACACCGAUUCUAGUGCGAUCAACGAAGUUAAACAACGUCGAGCCUGGUCAAUACCAAGAUGGGCGACCGCUUGGGAAUAUCACGUGCUGUAAG